rnacentral:rRNA from 1 species
AGCUCCAAUAGCGUAUGUUAAAGUUGUUGCCGUUAUAAAAAGCUCGUAGUUGGAUUUCUGCUGAGGAUGACCGGUCCGCUCUCUGCGUGUGUCAGCCUUGGCAUCAUCCUCAAGAACGUAUCUGCAUUUGACUGUGUGGUGUGGUAUUUAAGACAUUUACUUUAAGGAAAUUAGAGUGUUUCGAGCAAGCGCACGCCUUGAAUACAUUAGCAUGGAAUGAUAAGAUAGGACCUCGGUUCUAUUUUGGUUUCUAGACAAGGUAAUGAUUUAUAGGGAUAGUUAGGGGCAUUCGUAUUUAACUGUCGGAGGUGAAAUCCUUGGAUUUGUUAGAAUAUUGCGAAAGAAUUUGCCAAGGAUGUUUUCAUUGAUCAAGAACGAAAGU